AACGAACGCUGGCGGCGUGGAUAAGACAUGCAAGUCGAACGAGACUUUUCGUUGUAGCAAUACGAUGGAAAGUUUAGUGGCGAACGGGUGCUUAACACGUGGGCAACCUGCCAGGAAGUGGGGGAUAGCUCGCCGAAAGGCGAAUUAAUACCGCAUGUGAUUAGAGAGGACAUCCUUUCGAAAUUAAAGUCGGGGCAACCUGACGCUUCUUGUGGGGACCGCGGCCUAUCAGCUAGUUGGUGAGGUAACGGCUCACCAAGGCUUUGACGGGUAGCUGGUCUGAGAGGACGACCAGCCACACUGGGACUGAGACACGGCCCAGACACCUACGGGUGGCAGCAGUCGAGAAUUUUUGACAAGGGGGGAAACCCUGAUCGAGCGACGCCGCGUGGAGGAUGAAGGUCUUCGGAUUGUAAACUCCUGUCAUUGGGGAACAAUGCAUAAAUAUUAGCUGUAUUUGUGUUGAUAGUACCCGAAGAGGAAGAGACGGCUAACUCUGUGCCAGCCGCCGCGGUAAAAC
rnacentral:rRNA from 1 species